rnacentral:ncRNA from 2 species
AGGAGUCUGACAUGUGUGCGAGU